rnacentral:rRNA from 1 species
GCGACUGGCGACGUGCUUACCAUGCAGUCGAACGAUGAACCCGAAGCUUGCUUUGGGGGAUUAGUGGCGAACGGGUGAGUAACACGUGAGCAACCUGCCCCUCACUCUGGGAUAAGCGCUGGAAACGGCGUCUAAUACUGGAUACGAGACGCGACCGCAUGGUCAGUGUCUGGAAAGAUUUUUUGGUGGGGGAUGGGCUCGCGGCCUAUCAGCUUGUUGGUGAGGUAAUGGCUCACCAAGGCGUCGACGGGUAGCCGGCCUGAGAGGGUGACCGGCCACACUGGGACUGAGACACGGCCCAGACUCCUACGGGAGGCAGCAGUGGGGAAUAUUGCACAAUGGGCGGAAGCCUGAUGCAGCAACGCCGCGUGAGGGAUGACGGCCUUCGGGUUGUAAACCUCUUUUAGCAGGGAAGAAGCGAAAGUGACGGUACCUGCAGAAAAAGCACCGGCUAACUACGUGCCAGCAGCGGCGGUAAUACUG